rnacentral:misc_RNA from 1 species
GAUGAAGAACGCAGCGAAAUGCGAUAAGUAAUGUGAAUUGCAGAAUUCAGUGAAUCAUCGAAUCUUUGAACGCACAUUGCGCCCCUUGGUAUUCCGGGGGGCAUGCCUGUUCGAGCGUCAUUUCAACCCUCAAGCUCAGCUUGGUAUUGAGUCCAUGUCAGUAAUGGCAGGCUCUAUAAUCAGUGGCGGCGCCGCUGGGUCCUGAACGUAGUAAUAUCUCUCGUUACAGGUUCUCGGUGUGCUUCUGCCAAAACCCAAAUUUUCUAUGGUUGACCUCGGAUCAGGUAGGGAUACCCGCUGAACUUAAGCAUAUCAAUAAGCGGAGGA